AACAUAUUAGUCUCAAAAAGGAAAAGAAUGCAAUUUUUAAUCGUUUUUUUAAUGAUCUUGGUAAAGAAACUAAGAAAACACUGAAAUUGAAAAAACAGCUUGCUUUUAUAUGUUUUAGAAAAAAAGAUGGAUUAUUUGACAUGAAUAGAUGGAAAGUUUAUAAAAAAUCAGAUUUACCAAAAGAAGAGCAUACUGAAGAUAAAAUAUUUGAACUGCUUCUAGAAAUGUAUGAUGAAGAUGAGUGUUGUUUUUCAGAAAUAUAUAUAUUUACUACAAAUAGCCCAUGUUUGGCAAGACCCAACCAUGUGCCCUGCAUGAUUCAGGCUGUUGAAAUAGCAAUGAUGUUAUAUAAAAAGCAUGGCAUAAAAACCACUAUUGGAUAUCUUGAACCCUGGGGUUUCAGUGGUUCGUAUGAAAACGUUUUGCCUGAAUGCUCUAUUAAAGAUUGCAGUUAUUAUUUUGAGUCCCAAAUGCUAGGAAGCAAAGAUAUGAUUAAUAACUCACCCCAAACACCAACUAAUAGAAUAGAAAUUGACAUGGAAUUAAUAAGCCCAAUUUACAAACAAAUUAUUCCAGAAGUAGAAAAUCUAAAAUUUUCCGUGAAAGAUAGUAAAAAAACGGAGACCAGAAGAACAGGACCAAAACUUGAUCUUGCACAAUUUUGUUCAAAAAUAUCCAAACCUGAAAUCAAAGAAAAAUUUAUGAAAAACUUAAAUAAAACCAUAUCCGAUUUAUUUAAAAAAGAUUUAGACAAAACUUUUGGUGAUUUCAAAAACCAUGGUUUGGAAGUGUUUGCGAAAUGCAUGAAAAAUAUAAACUAUCUUUUCAUUGAAAUUGACUAUGCAAAUAUUUACGAAGAAAUCCACGAAUAUCUGAAAAACGUUUUCUUUCCUUGGUGGGCUAGAAAAGUGGAAGAUGCAUCCAGCAAGUUCUUAAAAAAGCAAACCAGUUCCUUUCUACAAGAAAGUGCUGUUUUUCAUUCCCUUAGAGACAUAAAAGAAACUGAACAUUUUUUCGAUAUUGGUUAUGUGAUUCUCGAAAAUUGGAAUAUUUAGAAUAAAAUUUGAAUAUUUUGUAAUCUGUUAUAUUUUGUAAUUGUAAACAUUUAAAUAAACAUGCAAAUUUGGCUCCUCUGUUGUUGUUGUUGUGCAGUAUUUCUGUCAUUUAUGAUAUCUUGUGUGUAUAAAUGGGUGUUCAUGGAAAUGUUUUGUCAGUCAAUAGAAGUUUAUUCUGCUUAUAAAGUUCAAUUUUUCUGAGUUUUACUUUCCCAGCUUGCUCAGA
ensembl:lncRNA